rnacentral:rRNA from 1 species
GUCCACGCCGUAAACGAUGUCAACUAGCUGUCUGUGAACUUGAUUCGUGGGUAGCGUAGCUAACGCGCUAAGUUGACCGCCUGGGGAGUACGGCCGCAAGGUUAAAACUCAAAUGAAUUGACGGGGGCCCGCACAAGCGGUGGAGCAUGUGGUUUAAUUCGAUGCAACGCGAAGAACCUUACCAUCCCUUGACAUCCAGAGAAUUUUCUAGAGAUAGAAUUGUGCCUUCGGGAACUCUGAGACAGGUGCUGCAUGGCU